rnacentral:rRNA from 1 species
CCUACGGGCGGCAGCAGUGAGGAAUAUUGGACAAUGGGCGUAAGCCUGAACCAGCCAAGUCGCGUGAGGGAUGAAGGAUCUAUGGAUCGUAAACCUCUUUUAUAGGGGAAUAAAGUACGGGACGUGUCCCGGUUUGUAUGUACCUUAUGAAUAAGGAUCGGCUAACUCCGUGCCAGCAGCCGCGGUAAUACGGAGGGUCCGAGCGUUAUCCGGAUUUAUUGGGUUUAAAGGGUGCGUAGGCGGCUUUUUAAGUCAGCGGUGAAAGUCGGUGGCUCAACCAUAGAAUUGCCGUUGAAACUGGGAGACUAGAGUACGUUGGGGGCAGGCGGAAUGCGUGGUGUAGCGGUGAAAUGCUUAGAUAUCACGCAGAACCCCGAUGGCGAAGGCAGCCUGCCAAGCCAUGACUGACGCUGAUGCACGAAAGCGUGGGGAUCAAACAGGAUUAGAUACCCGUGUAGUC